rnacentral:rRNA from 1 species
UACGGAGGGUGCAAGCGUUAUCCGGAAUCAUUGGGUUUAAAGGGUCCGCAGGCGGUAAGAUAAGUCAGUGGUGAAAUCUCACAGCUCAACUGUGAAACUGCCAUUGAUACUGUCUUUCUUGAAUUCGAUCGAAGUGGGCGGAAUGUGACAUGUAGCGGUGAAAUGCUUAGAUAUGUCACAGAACACCGAUAGCGAAGGCAGCUCACUAGGUCUGGAUUGACGCUCAGGGACGAAAGCGUGGGGAGCAAACAGG